UACGUAGGGUGCGAGCGUUAAUCGGAAUUACUGGGCGUAAAGCGUGCGCAGGCGGCUUGCCAAGUCAGAUGUGAAAGCCCCAGGCUUAACCUGGGAACGGCGUUUGAAACUGGCAGGCUAGAGUUUGGCAGAGGGGGGUGGAAUUCCACGUGUAGCAGUGAAAUGCGUAGAGAUCGGGAGGAACAUCAGUGGCGAAGGCGGCCAUCUGGGACAACACUGACGCUGAAGCACGAAAGCGUGGGGAGCAAACAGG
rnacentral:rRNA from 1 species